UACAAUGUCAAUGUUGUGAUGAACACUCCC
rnacentral:piRNA from 1 species